rnacentral:tRNA from 1 species
GCUUUCCUGCGGCUCAGUUGGUAGAGCAUUGCACUAACAAUGCAAAGGUCGUGGGUUCAAAUCCCAGGGAAAGAA